rnacentral:rRNA from 1 species
GACGAACGCUGCGGCGUGCUUAACACAUGCAAGUCGAACGAUGAAGCCGGAGCUUGCUCUGGUGAAUUAGUGGCGAACGGGUGAGUAACACGUGAGUAACCUGCCCUUGACUCUGGGGUAACUGCGGGAAACUGUAGCUAAUACCGGAUACGACCCUCGGAGGCAUCUCCUGGGGGUGGAAAGAAUUUCGGUCAAGGAUGGACUCGCGGCCUAUCAGCUAGUUGGUGAGGUAAAGGCUCACCAAGGCGACGACGGGUAGCCGGCCUGAGAGGGUGACCGGCCACACUGGGACUGAGACACGGCCCAGACUCCUACGGGAGACAGCAGUGGGGAAUAUUGCACAAUGGGCGCAAGCCUGAUGCAGCAACGCCGCGUGAGGGAUGACGGCCUUCGGGUUGUAAACCUCUUUUAGCAGGGAAGAAGCGAAAGUGACGGUACCUGCAGAAAAAGCACCGGCUAACUACGUGCCAGCCGCCGCAGUAA